GAGGCCAGGGGUGCUGGCCGAGAGGAGCAACCCCAGGUCCAAGGAGUGGUGGCUAUGCGGGUGCAGGAAGGCCGAGAGGAGCUACUCCGCUUUCAAGGUCAGGAGGGGCAGCGGUGAGGAGAUAACCCUCGUCCAAAGUAGGGAGCAGCGGUUGCACUUUGCUGGAGCAGCUGUGAAGAGAUACCCCACAUCCAAGUAAAUUUAGACCUUGGAGAUACCUCUCAUCCAAGAUAAGGAACAGUGGCUGUGCUUUGCUGGAGCAGCUGUGAAGAGAUACCCCACGUCCAAGUUCUGGAGGCUGGGAAGUCCAAGAUCAUGCUGGCAGAUCUGAUGUCUGAUGAGAGCCAGCUUCCUCCUUGAUGACUGUCUUCUUACUGUGACCUCACAUGGCAGAAGGGCCAAGCUAACUCAAUGAAGCCUGUUUCAUAAGGGCGCCAAUUCCCAUCCUGAGGGCUCUCCCCUGGUGACCUAAUCAACUCCGAAGUGGGAGGAUUGUGAAGCAGACGUUGGAAUCAUGGAGGAAGAUAAGAGAAUGAAGAGUCAGAUGACUCAUCUUCCUAAAGGUCCCCCAAAUAUGAAGUGGUGAACUAGGGGCUGAAACUCACCUCUGUCACUCUCAGCUGGUGCUUCUCAGGAUUCCUGAAGUUUAGAAGCAGCAGCUGCGUGGUUUAGAAGAUAGAACCCAGGUGGCUGGUU